rnacentral:lncRNA from 8 species
GGGGAGUUGGGGGGGAUCCAGUGUGUGAGAGAGAGAGGAGAUUCCAACAUCAGCCUUCAUAUGUGAGGCCUCCACAUAACAUAACACAACACAACACCAACAGCUCUGCUAUAGCAAUCAAUACUUCUAUUGAUUACAAUACUUCUAUUGAUUACUAGGAGGAUAUGUAGCUGUAUCAUUUCACCCCUCACAUCACUGCUGGCUGAUUCGCCACUUCAUCUCUCUUUUUUGUGUUCUUGCAUCUCCAUUUUUAUCCAGUUGAUAUGUUUUGUCCUUCCUUUCCUGGCUCAGUGCAUGUGCACAGCACCCCAGUAACUUGGCUAAGUUUGGGCCUAUAAAGGGUUAUUUAGUUGCCAGGAGAGAGAGCAAACUGAUUCUGCAGGGCCUGCCAGAAGAUUACAAUACCGGUGCAUCCUAAGCUACACAGAAUACAAGGACACACACACACACACACACACAGAGAGAGAGAGAGAGAGAGAGAGAGAGAGAGAUUAAUGCGUUUCAGAACGAGGCUGAAAAUACAUCAUAUCAUCUUUAAUGGGUACACAUUUCUGCAGCCGUAAAUCAGCUUUUAUAAAUAGAAAAACCGGGUGAAAUAUGGCGUUGUAUAUUCCUCCCAAUGACACUUUUACAAGCCCUCCCUGCAGUAUAAAGGCAUUGAUUGCUAUUUCAAAGUACCAUGUUAGACCCAAUACUGAGUACAACCAGCUGUCAUAGUGGAGAUGGAGGGAGAGAGAGAGAGGUGGAGGCAGAGAGGUGGAGAGAGAGAGGUGGAUGGAGGGAGGGAGAGAGAGAGAGAGAGAAGGAAAGCGAGAGAGAGAAGGAAAGCGAGAGUGAGGGAGGGAGAGAGAAAGCAAGAGAAGGAAAGCGAGAGGGCAGAAGGGAGAGAGAGAGCGAGAGAAGGAAGCAAGAGGGAGGGAGAGGGCAGAGAGGACUUAUGGCUCUGGCAAAUUUGGGGCCUUUUUUCAGAGAGUCGUUCAGAGAGUCAAAUUAUUGGACUGACAGCCCAUCCCUUUGGUGAAGGUGAAAAUAAGAAAAUGAAAAGUGAUAAGAGUGAGAAGAACACACCCAGAGAGUGAAAGACAAGUUCUCUUCUGACCUGCAGCCUCCCUGAGAUUCUGCUGUAUCACAUUCAAAGGAGGAUCCACUGCUCUAAAUUCUAGUUUAAAUGGAUGUGCCAAUCAGCUGUGGAUAUGGAACGGGCCCAGGAGCAAAGCUGUAAUGUAUUCCCAGGGUGCAAUGGUUGUCGUAAAUACAAGCAUACAACCAUAUUGUUGAGCGGCGGAUCAUAUUUUACACUGUUAACACGCCAUCUGGUUCUCCCUAUAAGCAUUCAUUACACAUAAUGGAACACACUCUACAGGCAGGGUACUGCAGAGUACACCCUGUCACGCACAAUACGAACACACACACAGCACUAGAAGCUUUCAGAGUGUAAACAGGGGACAGGGUUCAAAUGAGGGUAAUGCAUAACAAAACACCAGAGAGAGAGAGAGAGAGCGAGCGAGUGAGCGAGCGAGAUAGAGAGAGGGGUGGGAGGGGGGGUAAAGCACUACCCCUUUACUUCUCUGCAGCUGAUGCUGUGCCACAGCUGUACAUGACAUUGUGACAUUCCUGAAAAAUACAAAGGAAAACGCUGCACAACGCUGUUCAUGUAUCCAGGUGAUUUUAUUGUUACAACAUUUCAACCCUUAAGUCAUUAGGCAUCCAUAUCCCAGAUGGGGAUAUGUCCUAUAUAUAGGGGCAGUGCUCAGUGACAUCACUUCCUGAAACAGGAGGUAAAAACAUAUAUCGGUUCACAAUAUUAACAUUCAAUAUAUAAAAAUAUAUAACCAUACAUGUGGAAAAGGUUUGAGUGGGAUAAUGCGGACUACAAGUAGCAGAAGGUGUAUUUCUGGAGAGAUGACUUCCCCGCAAGAAAUGUAGGAAGACGGCAACAAACGAAGUCCCCACCACUCACACGGAGCAAGACACGGUAAUACACUUGUCCAACAGGUCUAUAGCUGACACAAGCUCAUCUGCCUUAGGUAACAAAAUAUACUUUGUCCCAACAUCACAGGCCAAUGACUUUGAUACAUUUAUAGAUGUCGGCCACGUCGCCGAGAUUGACGUCUUGCUUACGGACAGGCUAAACACAUUCUUCGCACACUUUGAGGAUAACACAGUGCCACCGACGCAGCCUGCUACCAAGGACUGUGGGCUCUCCUUCUCCGUGGCCGACGUGAGUAGAACAUUUAAACGUGUUAACUCUCGCAAGGCUGCCUGUCCAGACGGCAUCCCUAACCGCGUCCUCAGAGCAUGUGCAGACCAGCUGGCUGGUGUGUCUACGGACAUAUUCA